CAUUAUUUCACUUAUAACAAAACAUUUUCCCAUAUAACCUCCAAGUAAAACUAGUACUCUUUUAUAGUAUGUAAUUAUUUACCGAAAACAACCUCUUAUUUCAUGAUGAAAAGCUACUUUCGUUCCCAGGUAGGGAUAUAGGCUGAGCAGCAAUUAGUAGAAAUCACACAGCUGCUGUGGUUAAAUCUGACAAGAAAAGUUUCACAUUGGAGGGUGCAGGAGCAUAAGUGGAGAUGUAACUGCUCAACUUGACCUUAUCAGGGCAGGCUGGACAGGUAACCGUGACACAGAAUGAAGGGGCAAGACCACAAGAUGUCUAAAAACUGGUGUACGCUUGGCUGUUAAAGAAGAGAAGGCUGGAAUGAGUGGGUGCUCCAUUACUUUUGUUUCAUCCUGAUGUCCCACUGGCAACAGAGUGUGUGUAAUACACCAUGCAUGAGCACACGGGAUCCCCUGAACAUCAGUGGCAUUUACAGGAUGACACAGAUAUAUGUACUUAUAUCUUCAUCUUUCAUCAGUCAUCUUUGCCUCUGCGUGCGUAAUUGGUUCGUCGCCUCUUGGUGUUAGGAAGAAGGGAAGAAAGAUGUGACUGAAGCAUCUGGUGUGAGAAUCUAAGAAUGCCGAGGACAGCCUCACUGCAUCGGAGCAUCAGAGAGAGCAUGAAUACCCCGCAAAGCCAUUCAUUGCGACACUGCGCUCAGCUAGAGAAAUGCAGCAUAUUACAGUGCUGCAAGAUAGACACUGAUAACAUGAAGUGGAUCUAACAAGUGCAAGACAUUUAAACAAGACUCCAGAUCUGUCAAUAAAGAGUUACAAUGAUACUCGAAUUUAA